rnacentral:rRNA from 1 species
AAGGGGUCCACUUUUAGUGGAGCCUGCAGUUUAAUUUGACUCACACGGGAAAACUCACCCGGCCCGGACACCGUAAGGAUUGACAGAUUGAGAGCUCUUUCUUGAUUCGGUGGGUGGUGGUGCAUGGCCGUUCUUAGUUGGUGGAGCGAUUUGUCUGGUUAAUUCCGAUAACGAACGAGACUCUAGCCUGCUAAAUAGGCAGUGGAUUAUUCGUCCACUGUACUUCUUAGAGGGACAAGCAGCGUCUAGCUGCACGAGAUUGAGCAAUAACAGGUCUGUGAUGCCCUUAGAUGUUCGGGGCUGCACGCGCGCUACACUGAAGGAAUCAACAUGCUUCUCAACCUUGGCCGGAAGGUCUAGGUAACCCGUUGAAACUCCUUCGUGAUUGGGAUAGGGAAUUGCAAUUAUUUCCCUUGAACGAGGAAUUCCCAGUAAGUGCGGGUCAUCAGCUCGCGCUGAUUACGUCCCUGCCCUUUGUACACACCGCCCGUCGCUACUACCGAUUGGAGGUAGAGCAGA